rnacentral:rRNA from 1 species
GAUGAACGCUGGCGGCGUGCCUAAUACAUGCAAGUCGAGCGAACAGACGAGGAGCUUGCUCCUCUGACGUUAGCGGCGGACGGGUGAGUAACACGUGGAUAACCUACCUAUAAGACUGGGAUAACUUCGGGAAACCGGAGCUAAUACCGGAUAAUAUAUUGAACCGCAUGGUUCAAUAGUGAAAGACGGUUUUGCUGUCACUUAUAGAUGGAUCCGCGCCGCAUUAGCUAGUUGGUAAGGUAACGGCUUACCAAGGCAACGAUGCGUAGCCGACCCGAGAGGGUGAUCGGCCACACUGGAACUGAGACACGGUCCAGACUCCGACGGGAGGCAGCAGUAGGGAAUCUUCCGCAAUGGGCGAAAGCCUGACGUAGCAACGCCGCGUGAGUCAUGAAGGUCUUCGGAUCGUAAAACUCUGUUAUUAGGGAAGAACAAAUGUGUAAGUAACUAUGCACGUCUUGACGGUACCUAAUCAGAAAGCCACGGCUAACUACGUG